rnacentral:lncRNA from 1 species
AAUCCACCAACAUCUUUUUGAUUCCUGACUUCCCUUUGUAGAUUCUAUACUGUGACUUGAAGAACAGUUGGCAAAUGGGUCAAAAGCCAGUAGAUAGACCUCAGAUGGACAGAAUUUGACUCAUCACAUUUCUUGGUUCUUGACAUGCUCUCCUCAUUAGUCCAUCACAUAUUGCACGGAUUCAUUCAUAUCGCUGCAUGUAGGCUGCUUUGACCUGCUGUAGAUUAUCUCAUUGUGUGGAUGAGGCUUCAGAAGGUGAACCCAGAGAGCAGGCUGUUUCUGUCCGUGGGAAAGCAGGAUGGUACAGCCCAUAUCUGAUUCAGAAACCAACAGUCAAACCAUUCUCCCCUGAGACUAAAGCAGAG